UUAACUUGUUAAUCAUAAAAACUGCUCUGCAAAGAAGUACACUAGAAACAUCCGGAUGUGGGGUUACAAUUUUUUUUUUUUAAAGUGAAACAGCCUCCCUUAAAAGAAGUAAAACUCUUAAUUCAGACUUACUGGAUAGCUGAUAAUGCAAGUGAAAAUGCUGGCAUCUACAGAUACUGGGAAGUCUCUGGAUGUGAAUUUUAUCAGUGACCAUCUGG
rfam:Vicugna pacos cont1.144010, whole genome shotgun sequence.